UCCGGUUGAUCCUGCCAGAGGCCACUGCUAUCGGUGUUCGACUAAGCCAUGCGAGUCAAAUGUUCUUCGUGAACAUGGCGUACUGCUCAGUAACACGUGGAUAACCUGCCCUUAGGUUCGGCAUAACCCCGGGAAACUGGGGAUAAUUCCGGAUAGAUCAUAGAUGCUGGAAUGCGCUGUGGUCCAAAGCUAUUGCGCCUAAGGAUGGGUCUGCGGUCUAUCAGGUCGUAGUGGGUGUAAUGUACCUACUAGCCUACGACGGAUACGGGUUGUGGGAGCAAGAGCCCGGAGAUGGAUUCUGAGACAUAAAUCCAGGCCCUACGGGGCGCAGCAGCGCGAAAACUUUACAAUGCGGGGAACCGCGAUAGGGACACCGAGUGCCAGCAUCCUAUGUUGGCUGUCCAUAUGUCUAAAUCGCAUAUGUUAGCAAGGGCCGGGCAAGACCGGUGCCAGCCGCCGCGGUAACACCGGCGGCCCGAGUGAUGGCCACUAAUAUUGGGUCUAAAGGGUCCGUAGCCGGCUUGGUCAGUCUUCCGGGAAAUCUGACGGCUUAACCGUUAGGCUUCCGGGGGAUACUACCAGGCUUGGGACCGGGAGAGGUAAGAGGUACUACGGGGGGUAGGAGUGAAAUCUUGUAAUCCCCGUGGGACUACCUGUGGCGAAGGCGUCUUACCAGAACGGGUCCGACGGUGAGGGACGAAAGCUGGGGGCACGAACCGGAUUAGAUACCCGUAGUCCCAGCCGUAAACUAUGCUCGCUAGGUGUCAGGGACGGUGCGACCGUUUCUGGUGCCGCAGGGAAGCCGUGAAGCGAGCCACAUGGGAAGUACGGUCGCAAGGCUGAAACUUAAAGGAAUUGGCGGGA
rnacentral:rRNA from 1 species